rnacentral:rRNA from 1 species
CAGUAGCCACGGGAAAACGAAGGGGGCUAGCGUUGUUCGGAUUUACUGGGCGCAAAGCGCACGUAGGCGGAUCGAUCGGUCAGGGGUGAAGUCCUGGAGCUCAACUCCAGAACUGCCUUUGAUACUGUCGAUCUCGAGUCCGGAAGAGGCGAGUGGAACUCCUAGUGUAGAGGUGGAAUUCGUAGAUAUUAGGAAGAACACCAGUGGCGAAGGCGGCUCACUGGUCCGGUACUGACGCUGAGGUGCGAAAGCGUGGGGAGCAAACAGGAUUAGAUACCCGCGUAGUCCCUGUCUCUUAUAC